GGUUAAGUUAGAAAGGGCGCACGGUGGAUGCCUUGGCACUAGGAGCCGAUGAAGGACGGGACGAACACCGAUAUGCUUCGGGGAGCUGUAAGCAAGCUUUGAUCCGGAGAUUUCCGAAUGGGGAAACCCACUGCUCGUAAUGGAGCAGUAUCCAUAUCUGAAUUCAUAGGAUAUGAGAAGGCAGACCCGGGGAACUGAAACAUCUAAGUACCCGGAGGAAGAGAAAGCAAAUGCGAUUCCCUGAGUAGCGGCGAGCGAAACGGGAACAGCCCAAACCAAGAGGCUUGCCUCUUGGGGUUGUAGGACACUCUGUACGGAGUUACAAAGGAACGAGGUAGAUGAAGAGGUCUGGAAAGGCCCGCCAUAGGAGGUAAGAGCCCUGUAGUCAAAACUUCGUUCUCUCCUGAGUGGAUCCUGAGUACGGCGGAACACGUGAAAUUCCGUCGGAAUCCGGGAGGACCAUCUCCCAAGGCUAAAUACUCCCUAGUGACCGAUAGUGAACCAGUACCGUGAGGGAAAGGUGAAAAGCACCCCGGAAGGGGAGUGAAAGAGAUCCUGAAACCGUGUGCCUACAAGUAGUCAGAGCCCGUUAACGGGUGAUGGCGUGCCUUUUGUAGAAUGAACCGGCGAGUUACGAUCCCGUGCAAGGUUAAGUUUGAAAAGACGGAGCCGCAGCGAAAGCGAGUCUGAAUAGGGCGCAUGAGUACGUGGUCGUAGACCCGAAACCAGGUGAUCUACCCAUGUCCAGGGUGAAGUUCAGGUAACACUGAAUGGAGGCCCGAACCCACGCACGUUGAAAAGUGCGGGGAUGAGG
rnacentral:rRNA from 1 species